AUGAUUUGGCCCUCCUGUCAUUUCUCUGAAGAAGGAAACUCUAAAGAGUUAUGCCUUUGGCUCUGGUAUCUCCAGGAGAGGAGACCUGCAAAAGUGGUAGGAAAAUUCUCCACCUGGACUCCAGUCAUCACCUCCCACUUCCGGAGAGCCCGGGCAGCAUCAAGCCACUCCCUCUGUAUCUUUGACAUCUCUGCUUCCCAAGCUGUACGUAUGCUCGGGUGUCUCUUCUUUAAAAUAAAACCCCUUCCUCAAAUGUGUUGCUGUCUUUAGCCACCUCCUUCUGUUUUCCCCACAGCCCAGCAUUUUACAGAGUGGAUCACCCCUGCUGGCUGGACGUGGCAUCUCCUGCACUGUCACCUUUUCUUCCAGGCAUGUCUUCUACCAUCAGUACUCCCCAGCCCCUCCAAGGCUCACCACAGCUAGGGAAAUAAAAACUGCUUUGUUGGAAUUGUCCUUACUAAGGUUACCAAUGCUUUUCUAGUUUCCCAAAACCAGGAGUUGUUUUCCAGUCCUUAUUUAACCUCUGGUAGACACUGUUUUCCACCAUUCUGUUCUCUUAGAAACUUUGUCCUAUUUUCUUUGAUACAUGCCUUUCUUUGUCCUAUUUUCUUUGAUACAUGCCUAUUUUCUUUGAUACAUGCCUCCCAUCUGUGCUUGGGAAUGACCACUUUCAACUUUUUGCCACUUUCUGUACACAACCAUCCUCUCUGACAAUUUGGUAAAAUGUGCCUUUUAUCUUUUCAACAAAUAUUUAUUGAUUUCCUGAGGUGGCCUCUCUGCUUCUCUCUGACCAUUCUCACCUUUUCACCCCCCCCAACACCAGCCCUUAUCGUUCACCAUUUAGUACUGGUGUGCUUCAAGCUGAAUGCUUUCAUCUCCCUUCUUCUGUCUCCAUGUCUUCCCUAUUGAUCUCCUCCAUUCUUAGUGCUCUGAGAGACACAUACCCGUUCACUCUCCCCUGAGCCCCUGCUUCACGUGUUGAAAUGCACACUGAAUAUUUCACAUUGGAUGUCUUAUAUGCUACUCAUACUCUAUAUAUCCAGAACAGAACUUGUUAUAUUUCAAACCAAAUCUCUCUUCUCAUGUCCUUAUGUCUUGUUUAAUGGUCCUUGUGUUUAUCCAGCUUCCCCACCUAGAAAUAAAUGAAAAUAUCAAGAUUCCUGCUUUCUCCUGGAUCCCCUCUUCAGUUUGUCACCAAAUACUAAUAAUUUUGGGUUUCAGAUCGGAUUCAAGAUGGCACAGUAAGAACAACUCAGGAUCGCAGCUCUCAGUGAACGCUCAGAGGGUGAGUCAAAGCCGCAUUAGAUCUUUGUUGCCCACAGAAUGGGGAAAUUCCCAGGUGUAGGAAAGACACGGGAUGCAAGCACAGCCAUUUCAGCUGUUGCGGCCACUUCGGAUGGCACCGCAGCGCAGUGGCACUCCACAACAAUCUGCACAAAACACACGGGCCCGGGUGCCCUGCUAAACUAGCAAUCUGAGAUUUGGGAGGGCAGAUUAGCAUAUCCAUCUGAUUAAAUGGGACUUGGACAGUGAGCCAGACCAGGAGAUUCCUGGGAAGUGGCGUUUGAGCCAGCGCAGUGGCUAGCUGCACCGGGAAAUCACACAGAUCCCAGUGCUCUAACAGUGGGUGACCAAAACACCUGGGAGAGAGCCAUCCAUUCAACAUAAAAAAAAAAAAAAGAAAGGUGCCGAGGCAGGGAGCCAGGCGAGUGGGCUCGGUGGGUUUCACCCCCAUAGGGACAAACAAAAUGGCAAUUCAAAACGCUCCAGGUGGAGAGUUUCACUGCGGGCACAGCUGAACCCAGGAUGGUGCAGCUCGGUGGGGGAGGGGCAUUCGCCAUUACCGAGGCAAUCCACGCCUACUGAGGUACACUCCCAUUGCUGAUGCAGCCUGCCAUUGCCGAGGCAACCCGUCAUAACAGAGAGACUCCGCUGCAGGGCGGAGCUGGUGGCAGCAGGGCAGAGCCUGUGGUGGAGCCCACAGCAACAGGGCGGACACCACAUCAGCAGGGCAGAGCCUCAGCAGGCAAAUAGUGACUAGACUGCCUCCUAGCUGGGCAGGAUAGUGCAACAGACACUCAUAAAGAAAGCCCAAACCCCCUGAGACAGAGCAUCUGAGGAAAAAAAGGGGUUUUAAGAGUUCUGCUGCAGCAGACUUAAACACACCUGC
ensembl:lncRNA